rnacentral:sRNA from 1 species
CUGUCCGGGGGGCACCGUCCGUCCGCGAGUUUCGCGCACGGGCGCAUUUUCG